GUCUGUUUUAAAAGCUUGAUUAUACUAGCACCAUUUUUUUAAAAAAUGGAACCUGUGAUGAGCCUGCUGAGGAUGGUUUCUUAUGCUAGCACAUAAGUCAGAUUUCAACGGAGUUUUAAAUGGUUAACUCCCUGGAUGCUGAACCUGUAUACUUAACUGUUCAGAACUUCCUUGGACUUGGAUUAAGAUUUAAUUCUAAUGAACAAGCUAAUAAAUGAAUAUGUUUAGUGUGGUUGGCAGUAUUGUGUAGAGUUUAGAGAUUUUGUUUCUGGUUAAGUGUACAACAUUUUACGUUGGAUCUGUUAAGAUUUUUUUCCCCUUGGGUAUGAUAAUAUAUACUAGCAAACAAUGUAAGUAUAAUUUAAAUGUAGCCAUCUUAAGAUACCAAUACUUGAACAAGUUGAUUACUGACUCAUCUGUAAUUAACCUGGGGAGAAAACAUCUUUGACCUGAGGCUUACCAGUGCUUUUUGGCUUUGACAGCCUGAAAACUUCUGAGAAAAAAAGGAACUUAAUGUGCUUUUGCAGGCUGUGCAUGUACAUGUCUUAUUUUUAGUCUGCAUAUAGAAGGCUAUCACUUAACAUUCUAUUUAACGCUGUUUAUAAAGUAUCAGACAUUCACUAAAAACUCUGGAGUCUUUGUUUUACAGGCAAGCCUGUCUUAAGCACAACAAACCAGACUUUGGGUUUUUCCUGUGCAUAAACUUGAAGAGUUCUUCAUACUGAUUCCUGACAAAUUUUGAACUGAAACUGCCUGGAGAAUAGUUUGGUGUACAUUAAAGUUUAUUGUAAAUCUAAUGAAAUACUGUUCUGUUAGUAACUGAGUAAUUGACUACUUUGUAGUUUGUCUAAUAUUGGAGGAUUUUGAGAACUCAGCUGAGCAGUAAAGGAUCUUAUACAUGUUACUAAGGUGUUUCAGACCCUGUGGUACACUGAAGUUGAAGCCUAGCAGGGAAGCUCAAGGUUUGUGGAAUAAUUUAAAUGCUUUUGCUACUCAUUUGGUUCUAGGGUUGAAUGUUUUCUGUAUUUAGAACAAAUUGAACGAGAUGGUAUGUUCUAAGCAAGCUUCUAAGUUCAGCAGUUUUUAAACGUUGAAAAAAAGUCACAGUAAAUCCUUUGAAAAUAAGGUACUAGAUACAGCUUCAUGAAGUAUGCUGGUGUCCAGUACUUUAAAAAACAAGUAAAUGCCAACACAAAUGUAGAUUUAGUCAUUAUAGGCCAGUUAUUUAACAUAAAGAACAAAACAAAUGGUUGGUAUCCCUUAAAUGAUAAGUAAUUAGCUGAAUGAGCAUUGCUAAGACCAGAGACCUAAAUUUAGGGGUGUGUAUAUAUUUCCUAAGAGAAUUAGCACGUGCCCAUCGUGAUGCUUGUUUACUUGUGUCAACUUCAGUUUGCACAGAGUAAAAUACAUUGAAAGCUUGAAUUCCAAUAACCUGAAAGUGAAUUUUGUACAUAGUUGAGAUUUAACUCCAGGGAGAAUACCUUUGUUUCAGGCGUUAAGACUUCAGUGCAAGAAUAGAUGAAAAUUGGAAGCCUCUUGUAAGGUAGUUUAGGUAAUGUGUCACGUAGUUUGAUCCCUCAACACAAAAGUGCAUGGGUCAGGUUCACCAAAGACUUAAAACUAGAACUUUCAGAGUAAUUAUAAAAUUACUGGGGUACAGUUUUUAACUGUACUUGGGUGAUACAAUUGAUAAUUUGAUAGUUCACAAAAUAGACCUGGACUUUUCAGUCUAGGUAUGUUAGAAUCUUUGAGCAGGCUACUGAACAGACAGGUGUUCUGAGGAAUAUUUUGAUUUUGAUAUAUACUCAGAAUAUAAUCACUACCCUGAGUUGUCAGAAAUGGCACUGAAUGUCAGAGCAACACCUUAGAGUUUGUAGGGAUGUAAGAGACUAAAUAGUUCCAUAGGCAUUCACUCCUUGUUUUAUAGUUAGCUUAUUUUGCUUGCCAUUGCAAUUUUUGGCCAACUUCAAGUUCACGUUUGUUUCUGAAUCUGCAGACUUGCUCACUAUCCAACCGUAGGUAGUAGCUUUCCCCUUACUUGGCUCUCAUACACCACACAUAUAAUGUCUUUGUGUACUAUACAUAGAUUUCCUCAGGGGUUGUUUCAGAACAAGUAAGAGGGUGAAAGAUAUAGGCUACAUUUUCCAGGUAUUGGUCCUCCAGGAUUUGAAUUCCCCUCUAAUAAAUCUUUCAAAUCUAGCCUCAGAACACUUGAAGCAAAACUCCAGAGCUAUAACAAAGCAGCUACUUUAUCUAGGAAUUAUGCUUGGAAUUCUGUCUCAUUACAUUCAUUACUGCAACUCCUAAGGAAUCUCAGUCUAAGCAACACUUGAUUGAGAAUUCCAUGCUUAUUUUUUUAACCCUCAUAAGAAUUUUGUAAUCUCUAAAAUUGUAAGUUAUGCAGUUUCUGCCAUGUCCGAAAUAUUACUAGUGUGUAGAAUGCUUAAACCUUCAAUAGGGCCCAUGAAUGAAUUUCCUAGAAUGAGAGGUUGAGGGGAAGGAAGCAGCAAAAGUGAGAUCAGAUUCUAAUAUAUGUUUGACUUUAUGCAUGUGUAAUCAUCUUGGGGUACAUUUGACAACUUGAAGUAAUUAGUGUUAGCAGGGUUCUUGGCUUAAGUAAGUAGAAUUUAGAGUAAACAUUAAUCCUUCAGCAAAGAUAAAAGAAAGUUUCCUAAAGGUAGAAGGGUCAACAAAGAAAAUCUGAUAAUUCAAAUUAUGUGGGAAUGUAAUGGUGCUCUCUUGGGAAUACUUACCUCCUAAAUCUCACAACGCAACUGACAACAGUGAGGGCACCAAAAAUUCUGUACUUGUACAAAGAAAGGUGAAAAUACUGUACUGAGAGGCAGCAGUUAGUUUAGUAAAGUUAGUAGUUCUCAACAUGAUUAUGUUACCUGAAGUACAGGCUUUUGUUUUUUAAAUCAUGGUUCUUUGUGCUACAGUUUCAAGCUCCUGUUUUUGGUUCAGCAAGCAGUUUAACAUUUCCAUUUCCCUUGUCUAGUACAUUUACAUUUAGAAUAUCAAUACUAACCAAAACUCUUAAUUUUCCAAUAGGUUUCACUCCAAGCAGAAUUUACACAGAAGCUCUACUCUGGUGUAUGAUUAAAUUUUGAGCUGAUUGUUUGGCAAAGUUAUAUAGUAAACCAGUAACACUUGAGACAGGCUGUGUAUGUAUUAUGAGAGAAGAAUGAUAAAGGAUUGAGGAGUCCUGCUGUCACCUCAUAUUACAGAAAAUAAAGACAAGUUGAUAGGCUAGUUGAGGUCUCAGAACUAUACAUAUAUACACAUAUGCCUUAGCACAGUAGGUCUAGUCUGUGGGCUCCAAGAAUAUGUAAAUCCCAUUGUAAAUAUUCUGAGUUGCCACCUGAUAAUUGCCUAAUGGGUCGAGGAGUUUUAAGCAACUACUUAAGGAGUCUUAUUAGAGUUUAAUGUCAGGUUCUGGGUUCAAGUAUCAGUAGCCCCUGUUGGGGCAGUUUUAGUAUUCGACCCCCCAAAUUGUAAGCUCAGCUAGGCUUUUCCAUCGUGGUCAGUGGUGGCUGUCAUGAUUAUCUGGUUCACAUCAGCUGAAAGACCUUCCUUCAAAACAAAAUUUCAUCUCCACUCUGCUUGAACAAAUGUAGAUCUCUGGCCUACCAGAAGUAAGCCUGUGGGGGAGAGGUAAGAUCAAGGUUAGGCCUAAGUCUUAUGAUAAUGACUGACAGGUCCCCUUCCCCUCCCUGAAGCACACAGGAUACACAGGCAGAGUGAUGGUGCAGUUAGUAAGAGAUAAGAAUGCCCUAAGGGUUGAGGAAUAGCACCUUGGUUGACUAGACAGCAAAAAUGGAUUCUCAGAAUUGCAGGAGGGGGUUGAGAAGGUAGCCGCUGAGGCAAGCAACCAGGCUGCAGUGGUGUUCACCUGCUGUUGCUAGGUUCUCAGCUGUAAUGCUACUUCCUCAAAAAGGCCCUCCCUGAGUACCAGCCUUAUCUGAGUACCUGCCAUUUUUAUUCGGUGCACCAAGUAAAACUUUAAGUUGUAUCAAUGAUGUUUGUAUCAUUUUAUUGCCUAUUAUAUUUCAUAGUCCCACUGUAGUUAAUUACCAUAAAUUUAAACCUUAAGUUAAUGAAUUAAGGAAAGUUUUUUCAACAGUCCGUGGAAGGGGACAAAACACAAAGUGACUGGCUUAAGAAUUUUCCUCUGCAGUGCCAGUUUAAGAGGCUUGAAAAAAUGAUUGUAAGUCAAAUAUCCAGUUGCCAUUCUCUGAGUAAAAUGAUUUGCUCAGAACAGAAGGGGUGAUAGUAUACUUCUCACAUUCUCAUUCCAGGAAAAAUGUCUAGAAGUACGUAAGUCAACUAGCAGGUUAAGUCCAGAGAGGGGAAACUGAAAUAAGUGCAACCAGUAGGACGUGUGAACACUGAAGUGAAAUGAAGAUAGCAUCUGCAGAGUCUAAGGCAGUGUUUUUUUAAGUCUCAAAAUUAGCUUAAUCUGGGGCAUGAUCCUUUAGAGAAUAAAUAACACUAUUUUUUGGUUAAGAGAACAAAUGGUUUGAAUGUUUAUUUCAAAGGAAUUAGAAUUAUAUAUAUAUACUAGGACAUCAGUAGAAAAAAGGUACAUCACAAAACAGGAAAUAAGCAUUUUAAUUGAAGUUAAGCACAGAAGUUGUGUUUAUAAAUUAGUUUCUGUUUUAACUCAAGACAGUUAUACUCAAGUUCCAUAACAUACAGACAUUUUUGGCCAUUAGGAAUGUAGAGAUGAUCAAAGUCCUUGACUUUACCUUGAAAUUCUCUGGCCCAAUAGCAAGAUCAUCUGCUAAAUGCCAGAUCUUUGAAAAUGAGGAAGACAUAGUGUAUUCUUUCAAAUGAUUAAGCCUUCAUUAAGUACUUGUUGAAUGAAUUGAAGGUUUCUUUUAAAUAUGACUUGGCCAUUAAUAGAUUCUUUGAUGUAUUGCAGUAGGUAUAUAUCUGUUAACAUUUCUCACCUGAUGCCGAGUUUUGUCCAGACAGCUUGCCUUGGUGAAAAGAACAGAAAAAGAUUGUGUGUGGCAGGGACUGAGGGGCAGUGAAUAUAAAGAAAAUGCUAUCUCUGCACAUUUGUAUGUGAUGUGUAAGGAUGACAGGAGUGGCUGAAUGGGGCAGGACAGUGAUCUGGUUAAUUCUGAGAACUAGUGUGGUAAGAGAAUUCAGAACAAAUCUCAAGAAUAACAAACCUGCCUUUUAAGUAAGGAAGUGGGAAACCAGACCAUGACUUCAGGACUGCCAUUCUCCCAGAUCACUAGUCUUAGUGAUGGCAAACCUUUUCGAGCUUUCCAUGAUUGAUAAUAGUGGGCUACAGCAUGUUUGCCAUCAGUUCGCCACUACUGCCCUAUUCUAAAGGCUAUGUGUCCUCAAGGAUGUUGCAGGUAAUUUUGCGGUAAGCCUUACUAGAAUUAGUGAAAUGAAGUGGUAACUGACACUAAAUGACAGCUUACAAAGUACUACUGGAGCUCAGACAGGGAAAUGACUAAUGCAGUAAGUACUGUGUGCAUUUGGUACCCAUUACAACACACAAGUAAUUAAAAGGGACUUGUUCUCUAAAAGCGUAUGUAAAUAUAGUAAUUAGGUCUCUCUUUUUUUGAUAGUUUGGUUGUAGUGUGUUGAUCCUUGCUUAAUAUGAGGAUUCUAAUAUUGAACGUUUUUUUCCCAGCCAAAAAUGAAAUGUGCAAGUUACUACCAAGUGAAGCCAUUCAUAGUUGAUAUGACACUGCUAUGCCUGUGGUUCCCAUGUUGUCUACUGUCUUGAAACCAUCUUAGUCUGAGAAGAAUUUUUCCUUGCCCAAGGAACAAAGUAAAGUUGUACAUAGCAAUACAUUGAGACAUUAAAAGAUUUUACCCAGUUCUCUUUACUUCCUGUGUACUUUUUUUCUGUCAGCUCUUACUCAUUCUCAUAAGUGGAAAAGAAGGAAGUUUUGCAAAAUAUCCCUUGCAGGGACGUGAAAAGAUGUGCAUAAACAAUAUAGUAAACUUAAAAGAUUGCAUAAGGAUUUGGGUAUCCCUGGAAAUCAUGGCUUGAAAAGAUCUUCAUCAUGAACAGGCAACAACUUAGUAGUGAAUUUGUAACUUGAUGUCCAAAGAUGAAAAAUGUUCCUUUGUGUGCAGAAAUUCAUUGUAGCUUCAUGUGUACAAGAUGUUGCAGAUGGAGGACAAUAGGAAAGGGCUGGAAGAGUUUGGUUUAGAAUCAUUUUGUAUAGCAAGUGGGUUAGAAAAGAGAAAGUGGGGGCUGGGAAUUAGCUCUAUUGGCUGCCCAUGAUGGAGAUUCUGAGUUCAAUUCCAAGCUGUGGGCCCCCCCCCCCAAAAAAAAGUAGUUAUGGGGGGAAGGAGUGAAAUGGAAUUAAGAGACUGUCUUAGUGGCUGAGCUCACAAGAGACAAAAGACCAUGGCUGAUUCCCAGUAAUAGGGUGUGAGUAUUGCUAAAAAGCAGUUGUGCCUCCUCCUCUGGACCUUGACAGGUACCUUAGUCCUGACUUGGUGAAAACAAAUAACAGAUUAUUCUGCUCUGCUGCAAAACUUAGAAGAAUGGGGUUUUUUUUAUAAUCUUAAAAGUCAUUUUGAAUGGCUUGAGUAAUUUUGUUACAGAAGCUGUCAUGUAGGACUUGUGUUAACUAAAGUUAAUAUGGUAGAUUACAAUUAUUUUCAAUCACUGUAUAUUAAUUUUAUCUUAACAUUUCAUCUUAACAUUAACAUCUCUAUGAGAUAUUCCCAAGUUGGGGAAGCAGGCGGGAAAGUAUACAGGUGAUCAAAUUGACAGGGGUAAAUGAGGCAGCCAAUGUGAACAUUUAGGAGGUCUGGCCAGGUGGGAUGAUGCAUGCUUGUAAUCCCAGUUAUCAGAAGGCUAAGGCAGGAGGAUUGCCCUGAGUUCAAGGCCAAGCUGAACUGCACAGUGAGACCCUGUGUCAAAAAGUCAAAAUCUAGGAAAUCUGGUUCAGGAACCAGUUUUCUUAACUGCUAUGCUGCCUUCUAGGCCAGCUUUCAUUAUAUGUUAGCAUAGUGGGAAUGUAAAAUGAUGUUACCACUGAGCAGAAAUAUUUGGGGGGUUUUAAUAUCUGAAUUUACCUAAAAAUACAAAUUCCAUUUGAUCCAGCUAUACACUACUUAUGAAUAUCUUCCCAAAAGAUUUAACCAUAAUUCUAAAUGAAAUCAGACACACAAGACUUAAAUAUCACAAUUUCUCAUAUGAGAAAUAGUAUAAGGAGCAAAGUAAAGAUAGUAGGGAAAACUAAGUUUAUACCUUUUCUCAGAUUUUGUGGGAUAAAUCACAUUUCUGUUCCAAUAAAAAGUUUAUAAAAAUUUCAGAAAGCUUUACCCUAAUAUACUCUCACCAGAAAGAGAGGUAUGCAAAGAAGUCACAACGUUAGUUCUUGAGUGGUAUUUUCAGUGAUUUUUUUCCUGUAAUUUCACUUUUAGUUUCAAACAAGUUCUUUUAAAAUAAAAAUUCUGUGUUGGUUUUUUACGUUAAAAUCAGUCAUCUAGUCACUUUUUAGAGAAGAUGUAUUUCAAAAUGAUUGAGAAAAUGUCAGUAAAUCAACAUUCUAUUAGAUGUAAUUAAAUAAUUAUUUUCAGAGACAGCCUAGAGAACUGGGAUAUUGAGUAAUUACAUAUUGCUAAGGAUGCAGCAAUGCCAGUAUUGUCAGGAAGCCUAAAAAUGGAGUGAUGAGCUUCCUAACGCAUUUCAUUGUGUUAGCAUUAGGAUCUAAGAAAUACUUUUAAAAUGUAAUGAUACAACCUCACCUAUGACAGAUGUGAAACAAUACAUAAUGCAAAUAUCUCAACAAAUUAGCAAAAUAGGUGUCAUCACUGUGACUUAGCUCUGCUUUGGUAAAUUAAUAGACUCGAGUGAAAUAGAACACAAAUUUUUGGCAUAACUUGGAAAAGUGUAGGCAAAAUUAUCAAUAUUAGCAUUCAAAAUAGUUGUCUGCAAUAAUUUUUAGAAAAAUUACUAGUAAGACUUCUGUGAGGUAAUUUAACACAUUAUGAAAUGAUUUUCCUAGAUACAAACAAGUUGCAAAACAAAAAUUGUAAAAUAGUUAACAGUGAAAAACAUCUAGAAAAAAAUUCAGAGACACUGAGAGUGAAAGGUAGAAAUGCUUUCCAAAAUUGCCUAGGAAUUGAAAGAUGGAGGGUCAUUUUUUCCCAUGCCUUUGUGAGGUUAACCACCCCAAACUGGGUAGCAUAUGUAUAUUGAUACCUAUAGGCUUCCUUAGCCAAGGAUACAAUACAGAUACAACAAGGGAUGUUGUGUGGUGGUUUAUAUUGCUGGUCAGUGCAUAGAAUCUGUUGCCUCAGAAGUGACAAGGUGGGAUCAAGGAGAUUUAAAAUGGUGCACAAAAGGUGUCAAAUGGAACGCAGUUCCUGCACUUAUGCUUGUGUCUUGCAUUAAUCCCAGCUUAAUCACAAAAGUGCCCAUCAAAGCUGUUGCCGGGCAGAAUCAUGACACUGUAAAAAAGAAUUAGCUGCUCCUCCAGCUUUUGUCAUUGAUACUCAGCCUUUCCUUCACCAUCCAUUCCUUCUAGAUUCCUAGAUCUCUGCCUUACUAGCAUUUCUGUUUCAGUUACUGAUAGGUGGUACUACCUGGACACUGAAACUUGAGACGGGCUCCUUGCCAUAUACUUUCUGGCCUUCCGCUACUCCAGUUUUUCAUUAAGUGAGCAUAAAAAGUAUAGAUGUAGCCUGGUGAGUCCCCUGAGCUCAGUAAAAACUGCCUCUUUUUAUACCUGUUACUCUAGCUCAUGGUUAUCAGGACAAGUCGUAGUCACCAUAACAGUACCACCUCCCACUCUUAAUUGUUCCUUCAUGAAGGAGGCCAAAAUUAUUAGGUGGUAAUUGUAGCAUCAAAUUAAUUUCAUCAAGUUCUUUGCAUACUCAUAAUGAAACCAUUUCUUGUCCCCUACUUACAGACCAGGACCUCAGAUACGGAAGACCUAAAGUUUCAGAGCUAGGGAGUACAGAUUCUGCAAAUAGAUCGCAAGUAAUGGUUUGAGAGAUUCUCGGACUGAGCAGUUACUGGAUCCUCCAGCUCUUGAGCACACAGAUGGCCAUCAUGGGCUUUCACUUCUGAUCCUGUAAGCCUACCUUAUAAAGCCCCUUGUGUUUAAAAAAAAUUAUCUAUCUAUACAUAUACUAUAUAUUUUACCAAUUGCAUUUCUCUAGAAAACUAAUAUAGUAUCUUAUGUUGGCCAUUGAUUUUAGUGCAUACUUCAUGGUGGCUUAUCUUGACCCAGGAGGGAUUGUCCCUGGCCUGAUGCUUGUUUGAGCCUUAAUGAGGCUAUUGUAUGUGGUGUUAGCAUUUUUGUAAUUAUGAUGAUCCUGGAUGAAGUGUAUUACUUAAGACUAUUGGACAGUGUGUUAGUGGCCUCAACUUUGCCAUAAAAUAAAUCUCUUGGUUUGAGGAAUAUGGGGGAUAUUAUACGUAACUGGAGAUUCUGUAAGUGUUCAGAUAGUGAUGGUGAUAGAAAAACUGAGCAAAGAAAACAAACUCACUUCUGGAAAGGGUCUAUUUAAGGAAGGACAAAUUGUUGUUUCCUUCUUAGUUUAAAUCUUGAGUCAAGAUAAUUAGUCUCCCAAGUGUUUGGCUAGGCUCUCAGUGCGUGACAGGUGAUUGCUACACCUGACUUAGAGAGCCUGCCUACUUCUAGACUAGUGUGGGGAGGACAAACUUCUCUGUUUAAAUCAUUGUUGUUAUAACAGUUUAAACUUACUUGAACUAAUGCAGACAUUAUCAGGAAAUGGGGUGUUUCUGCAAUACAAAAUUGAAGUAGAUUAUUGAUUGGUAAUUGAAGGGUAAAGAAAGAUAGGGCAGGCUGUCGAGUAAUUACCAGGUAAAAGUGAGCCACUGCAAGCAAAAGGAAAGGGAAUCCAGUUCUGCUGAUGACUCAUCCUAAAAUAAACAUCUGGAUUGGCUGAUUUGACAAUAUUUCAGGAACUCACAGAUUGGAAAACCAACUCUGUACCUUAAAACAGGAAAUACCUUUGUCCCUUAGCAUUUCUCAAAAGCCUCUAGUAUAUGUUCUCAACUAGCAAGUAGGAAUCCGCUCUACAAGGUAGUUUAAGGGCAUUCCACUCCUUCCUGAACCUAAUUAUUCUAGGUGGGCUCAAGGUAGUCAUCACUAAAUUGAGAGGUGAAUAUUGUCUUAGUUACUUUCCCGGUGCUAACACACAAUACCUGACACAACUCAAAGGAGAAGAGGUUUACUUUUUGCUCAUACUUUGUAGAGGUUACAGUCCGCAGUUGGUGACUCCUGGCUCCAAGGCAGGACAGCAUGGCAGAGGACAAGUGGCUCAUGGCAUGGCAGCAGGAAGCAGAACCGAGAGAAGAGAUAGAAAUACACUUUUCCAGACCAUGCCCCUAGUGACCCACUGCCUCCCACCAGGCCUUCCUCUCACCACAUUUAGCUAUAAACUCACCAGUUGAUAUGUCCACUGAGGCGUAUCAGGCCCCCAUGAUUCAAACACUUACCCAAAAUCCCAUUAAUGAGUCUUUGGGUGACAGCUAUAAAUCAUAACCAGAAAAUAAAGUAGAAUCUGAAAUUGUUUUUGUUUCUGAGAUAGAUAUGCAGUUCAGGCUACCCUUGUAACCCAAGCUGUCUUCAGGCUCCCAGUACAGUGAUCCUCCUGUCUCAGCCUUCGGAGUGUUAGGAUUACAGGGAUUUGCCAUCAUGACUUAAGUCAGAAGUUUUAAGAACAGUAACAUGACUUGAUUUUUGAGAAUGCCUUAACAUGGAAGUGAAUGUAAGUCUAAGAGACAACUCAAAUUUGAGAGUAGAUUAUUUUCCAAAGAAAUCCCAGUCAUGGUUCCUGUCUCCAACAAUUCCCAGUUGUAAACUACCAGCAGAAAAAAUACUGUUGAAGCCACAUAAUCACCAAGAGGGUGACUCAACAGCUCAUUUCAGAGGUGUGCCAAUUCACUUACACUUUUCAGCUGUAAAUUCUUCUUUGCCUAUAUGUUGGCCUUCAAAUAGUUUCCACCUAACAGGAGUUGGUAUGGUAUUGAGCUUUAUCAAUAAAAGUUUCUGGAGAGUUUGCAUGAGGAACGAGUAUUCUUUCCUGAUUUGGUGUGUUCAUCUGGUAGGCCCUUGUGACGUGGAUAACUUCUCCAUUGCCCAGAUCCUUCAGGGUACGUCUGUGAGCGGCACCCAGAGACAACAGCUUCAUCACGUAGCUGCAUAGUGAUGUGUCUAUAGCAAAAUGCCACCCAAUGAACAGUUACUAACACUUGAGCAGUGAUGACAAACCCAUGGCAUGCAUGCUGUAGCUGGCUGUUGUCAUUGAAAGCGCUAAAAAGCUCACCAUCACUGCUCUAAAGAGUGGAUUUCUGGUAAAUUCUGGUGGCUCAACCCUAUGGUGACUAACCUUGUCAUGUGUGAGAGAGAGUUCUGUGGGGCUUGUCCUGGAGGAUCUAUUUCAGGCCUAGAGAUAGUGGCUGCUGUUUGUAUCUAAUAUUCCUAUAUUCCUUUGAGUUCUCUGUAGUUCUAACUGGCAAGUCCUGCUUUUAGUAAUUAUUUGUAAUGAGCUUUCAGUGUUCAAAUCAGUGUGUGUGUGUGUGUGUGUGUGUGUGUGUUUCCUGAUCGGGGCCAAAUGGAUAUGACACCACAGUAGAAAAUAGAUAAAGAGAAUGAAUUUUCCGAAUGAUAAAUCCAGUGACCAUGGGGUGGCAGUAGUCAAAGGAAUUCCUGCAGGAAAUCAGAACCAGAGUUUAAGCAAGGAAUUUACUAAAUUUCCUGGGAAGGAAGCCUUCUGAAUUUCUGCCAAACUGAAAAUCAUAGUGAUUGCUAUUUCCCAUUUAUUUUCAUUAUGGUAGUUUCCCUUAUGGUGUUGUAUGCUACUCCACCAUUUUGCAUUGAGAUGUAUUGGAUUGCAAUUAACUUGUAUAAUAAUAAUAGUUGUUGGUCCUUGAGACCUUUGUAUCAAGAGGCAAAAAAUACUCAGAGAUCUCAGAUUUUGAACUGGGAACAAGGAUGAUCUUUAGUUGCAUUCCUUGGGGAAGACCUGUGUUUUUCAUAUGGGAGGAUUGUUGCAUUUGGAUACUUGGUCUAGAGGCUAAAGGUAGGUAGUAACUUCUAAUUGUUCCCCAAUAUAUGUUCCCUAUUUUCAUUUCAGUAAUAAAACACCUUGAAUUUUUGCUGAGUGUCUGCCCAACUGGAGACUACAUUUUUCCGAUUUCCUUGAUGGAUAGUAAGGCUGAAUUCUUGACAAUAGGAUGUGACAAGUGAUACAUGUUACUUCCCAGUCUUGUUUUAACACAGAUGUAUGCUGCUUGUGAACCAGUUUUGAACAUGUAGUCAAGGAGAGACUUUGGGAGUGGUUGAAGAACCCACAUAGAAAACCUGGGUUGCUGAAUGUGCCCUUGUGAAGCAGAGACUCCUGGAUUGCUUGCUUGCUUCUCGAAUGAUGUGUAAAAGAAUAAUAAAACUCCUCACUUUUUGUGUGUGUGUGGUUUAUUUUUUUUUGAGCUAGUCUGUUCCUGGUCUUUUUGUUACAUCAGCUAACCUGUUCUCUAACACUGUUGUUGUCACAUUUGUUUCAAAUGAUACGUAUUUCUUUCAAAUCUGACAUGAACUUUUACAGUGUUUCUUUCCCUUGAGCCUUCUUCUACCAUUUUUUUUUCCAGGCAGAAGUGUUUGCAGAAAUCUUUGUCUUCAUCUCAUUACUUUUUACUGUCACUGCCAGCAGGCAGAGCCCAUAACAUAAAUGUAAAAUUGUGUUCAGUAUAUGUUCCC
rnacentral:lncRNA from 1 species